UCUUCCUCUCUCUUGUAAUUUAUUUGUAACACAUGAAUUUAAAUAGAUUACAACAGUGGUGAAUUCAUAUCACUUUCAAAAGUUAUCUUCCUUUUUGAAAGUUAAUAUUUUAGCCAGUAAUUAAACAUAAUUAGUGACUUUGUGAUCAGAUGUUCAUUUUCUUCCACUUAGCCAACGGGCGGCAUGUGGUGAAUUAAAAUAGCAGGUGGAAUUUUAGAACAGGUGACAGGUUCCUGAGCACCCACGAAGGUUAGAUUCAGAUGAUGGGCGCAGCUUUUCUUUAGUAUAGCAGAAACCUUGGGAUGCCUGGGAUGAAGACAAGGGAGAGCAGAGUAGGCAGAGAGCAACUGCCACCGUAAAGCCUGGACAAGUCUCAGAGCGAUAAAUCUGUUCAUUUAGGGCCCAACAUGAGUUUUUCUUUCUGAGAAGUAUAGCCCAAGUUAUGCAAAUCUGUUAGAUAUGAAAUCGCUCUUACAAAACAGCAUUUGGAUGAGUCCCAAGUAAACAAAUCAGACCCACGCAGAUCAAAUUUUCAUUAAAAUGCAUGAUUUUAAGAAUGGGGUGGGGGAAGGAAGCUGAGAAAUCAAAGGUGACUUUAACUACAUCUUAAAUUCAGUUUUUGCCCCAAGUCUAUGUUCUAUACAGCUUUCUGUUUUUCUUUUUAAAACGCCGAUCCCACCAAAUAAGCUAAUUGCGCUGAUGACAGCACAUUUGGUAAACGGUGGCCUACAGACCUCAGACGGCUCCUCUCUGCCUUAGUUCAGAUUUCUGUGAGCACCACAAGGCUGAAGGGAUCCUCUAAUUAUGGGUGGGAUUAGUGCUCAAUAGCCGAUGUGUUGCUCUUCGUGGCUUGCAGCCCUCGUGGUUUCUCUGCUCCUUAUGGUCACUGUGGCCACCUAGAAAUUCUUUUCAGGAGCAUAAUAACCGGAUCAGCUGCUGCAGGCUGGAGCCCGGCGGAACAAAGGGAGGCGGAGGGUGCUCCCACCGGCCUCUGCCUGCUCACAGAUCCCAGCGGGCACCCCCGGGGUCACAGCAGACAAAACCAGAGUCCAGCCCCAUUUGAUAGGGCUCCAUCCCACACGACCCACUGCCCCUACUUAAGGUCUGGGGGAUAGGCUCCAACAGCGUGCACUAUUUGCCAACAAAAGUACUAGCAGUGGAAAGAAAUACACACCCAGGCACUACAACACACAGGAAGACUCCUCUUGUUCAGUUUUCCCUUUCAGCUAUUACUCCCUGGAAAUCUUGAAGAUAGCUGUGAGAAGUUUAUUACUAAGCAUCAGUUUUUAAUAUUAAUCUUGUACCAGGAUCAUUUUAAUAAUCAUUAACGAGGAAACAGGAGGUGGUGGGCAUUUAUUUUAUUGUCAAGUGAGGCAGUUUCUUGUUCUGUUCAUCAUUCUUGAAGCUUCUCUUGCACCACCCGUUCCCUGAUGCCACAGUGUGGAGAGGUUUUCCCUAAGCAGCAUCUGGUCCCCUUGGAGGAUUCCACAGGCUUUUUGUCUCUUUCAGGUUUUCAAUAGUGGCCUCUGGGGGCGCCGGGGGGAGGAACCAUCUGGCCAGGCGUCACCUGGCCAGUUGGGCCUGCCUGGCCUCACGCUGCUCAGCAUUCCUCUGCAUCAAAUGGCUCAGUGCCUGCCGGGGACCUGGUCAAGUGCUGGACAAUGGGCCACAGAGCUUAGCACUGAGCCAAGAAUGUAGUGUUAAUAAGAACACUUUUUAUUCACAAUAAGGACAGAUAAUAUAGUUUGAGAAUGUGGGAUACUAAGCAACAAAAUUGGGUUUCAAUGUUGAUUCAUUUAUCUCCUAGCUGCGUGGCCUUAGGUGACUUACUUCAGAGUUGUGCUUCUGCAAAAGAAGAAAAAUAAUAACAACUGGAUUGUUGUGAGGUAUUAAUGAGACUACCCAGAUAUAAAGGUAUCACUUCUAUCAGGCAGGAAAGAAAGGGGACAUUUUAAUGGGUGAAUCAAGGAUUGUUUAGUAACAGCAGACAAGCAUGUUUGGCCCAUGUGCACAGCAAAUGCAUCAGAAAGCUGAUGUACCUGAAACCCAUAACUCAUACACGUUAGUGAAGAAAUGAAGAAAUAGCAGCUUCCUCACCCUGCACCAUCUCCCUGAGUUCCAGCAGGAUCCUCAACAGUUGCCCACAAUGAGAACUUGCUUGAUUACACACUCAUUAUUGGAUUUAGUCCCUUCCCUGUCUCACUUUGCUGCUUCUCUGUUGGUGCCUCCUGGGAUUAUCCCCGAAGUAAAUCAUACACACUACAGUCCUUAUCACAGGGCCUGCUUCUGGGAGAACCUACUGAAGACAAAACCCGCCGGCAUAGUCCAUGUGGGUCAGCCUCCCAUGGCAGAGAACAAGUGAAGAGAGGGUGCCUGGUCUGCUUCACACACUUCAGCUAGUAGUGUAAGCCUGGCAAUAACAAUUGUACAGUCGUUUCUUGAUUGUGUUCCUCUUUCACAACACUGCACAGUCAGCCACCCCAUUCCCUGAGGUUGACUUCUUGUGUUUAACUUUUUGACUUACUGGUAUCUACUGGGCCUUGGCACAGCAUUAUAUAUAUGUGUAGCAUUAUAUAUAUGUGUGUGUGGCUUCUGUAAGGAAUAGAUAGGAACCCAUUCUAGGUAAGAUGUGGGGUGAGUGGGGGGUAGGAAAUGGUAGAGUUGUAAAAAAGUAAAAUAUUAAUAAAAGUUGGAUGGCGUGUCUAAUAGAAAACAAAACCUUAGAACUUGAAUGAACACAUGUACAUUUCAAACCAUCAGUUAACAAUUGAGAGAGGGCUGGGAGGGUGAGGUCAAGAGAAAAAGGAAGCCUACUAAGCCUCCCUUAAAUUAAAAUAUAUAGGCAGUAAAUCCUCCCACCAAUACAAGAGGCCAGAUCUGCUGUAAAAACUAGAACCAGGUAUCCACAUGAAGUGAAAUCAAACCUGAUUUAUUGUAGCACAUCUGAACACUUCAGGUCCCAGUAAAAUCUCAGCAUAUUGUAUUAGAGUUAAAACGGAUUAGUAAAGGAUGAGAAGGGCUUCAAUAAAUUAUUUAUUAGAACACUAGUAACUUGAGGGCCUAUAAUGGGGACUGGCAUGUAGUUGGUACUUAGUAAAUAUUUAAUGUAUGGAUUGAUAGAUAGAUGAUUGGUUGAAUAGACAGGUUAGGAUAGCAGUAUAAAACCAAAAGGAACUUAACCGUACUCAUCCAUAAUCUUCUUUGUCCAAAACAAUCUUAACACUUUUCUCAUAGUGUGUGUGUGUGUAAGAUAUAUAUAUAUGCACAUACAUAGACACACACGUAUAUUACAUAAUAUUAAUAUAAAGUUGUUCCAUUGGCCAGAGCAAGCCACAUGGAUAAGCCCAGUGUUAAUGUAGGAGGGUGCAACAGAGUAUUUUACAAGGAAGCAUUCAUCGAUUAAAGCCAUGAUUACACCAAGAGAGGAGUCCCUCCUUUCUCCUGUGCAGUGAAGACUUCUGAGGCCUGAACCUACCACCUCAGGGUUCUUCACCUCCUGAAAGGCAGGAUGAGUUUCAUCCUGAAGGAGGUCUGGAUGGAGUGUCCAAAUGAUAAGUGAAUUUCUGGAAAACUAACCCAUACCUCCUGAAAUAGAAUUUCCAAGAAAGAGCCUCAAAAUCUCUAUUUUAAUUAAGCAUAGACAGGUGAGGGAGCAGGUACGUAUGCUUCUACAGGUUUCCAUUUCAAUACGGGAAUUAGGCCCAGUGAUUUUGAGGCUGAUUACAAGUGUCCCUUAUCUGUGUGAUCACUUAGUGUUGUUAACUGGCAUGUCUUUUACAGGAACAUCAAAGACCCUGAGAAGCCAAAAGUUAUGAAAUGCAUCAGCAGUGGGUUGAAGACAAGACCUCUCCUUUUCCUGCUGACAUUUCUUCCAUGAGCAGUACCCAGACAGCCGACAGAAAGAGCCCAGGAGGUAACUGGGGACAUGAGAUGAAAACUCAAGAUGCAAGGGUAUCCCAUCUUUUGGCUUCCUUGGGCCACAUUGGAAGAAGAAGAAUUAUCUUGGGCCAUGCAGGAAAUACACUAACAAUAACUGAUGAGCUAAAAAAAAUCACCAAAAAAUCUGAUAAUGUUUUAAGAAAGUUUACAAAUUUGUGUUAGGCCACAUUCAAAGCAAUCCUGGGCUGCCUGUGGCCUAUGGGCCACGGGCUGGACACGCUUGCAAGGGAGAGGACAGAUAAAGAUACGUAUGAGAGCAUCCUCCUUAGAGAAAGGUCAGUGUUGAAGUCAUAGGGUAAGGGAACUCUUUCAAAAGAAAGUAAAAAAAAAAAAAAAAGAUAGCGAAGUAAAUCAUGUGAAGUCUCUACAGAGUAAGGGCCAAAGGGAGGACACAGUAGCUUAAAAUCACAAUAUUGUUUUUGUUCCUAUUUUUGUUUUUCUCAUAAAGCUACAGGUCAGCUGGACAGCUCGCUCUUGGGUCCUCACAAAGCUACUGGUCAGCUGGGCAGCUCAGCUGGGUCCUCAUCAAUGAACCAGGGUUGGCUGAUUUUAGCUGGGCUCACUCAAUUUUCUAGAGUCCACUGGUCUGUCUGCUGCAGUGUGGCUGAUCUAGGACAGCCCUGGCCUUGGUGACCUGGCUCUGCUGCACGAUGCAGCCAUCCUCUAGCAGGCUAGCCUAUCACAGCAAAACAGAAGCACAAAAGAGAGAUCAGGAAAACGCAUAGCUUCUUAAGGCCUAGGCCCUAAACUGGUGCAUCACUUACUUCUUGGCAACAUUCUGGUGGCCAAAGGAAGUCACAUGUCCAACCCCAGACUCUAAAGGAGGGAAAAGAGACCCGAUGCCUUAAUGGGAGUAAAGUCACAUUGCAAAAGGCAAGGAUCCCAAAAAUGUUUCAAAAAAAAUUGGAGGCCAUCUUUGCAAUCAAAGUUAGAUUAUUCUCAAUGGUAAAAGUUGGAACCACAAUAUUAUUGUUACCUUCAAAGAGUACACCUAGCUGAAUCCCCCAGUCAAUGCAGGAAUUCCCCCAAAUUAAACACACACACACACACACACACAUACACAUAAACCCUCAAAGAUUCCCACAACUUGACCAUUUGACCUAGCUUUUCUCACUGGGUAAAAAAAGCAAGAGGGAAAAAAAAACCACUGCAGCUCUCUCCCACCCCUGCUGUUCAGCCUUCAGUUUAUCUGGCCUCUGCUAUGAGUCACAGCUGACUGAAGGGUGGGGGUGGGUUGUGAGUCAUGGCCUAAAACAAAGAUAGAAUUUGAUGGGGGUGGACGAGCAGGCGAGAGAGAAGACACGGCAAGUUCAGGCAUUCUCUCAGUGUUUAGGGUGAUGUCUUCUUUCCUGCAGCUGGGGAAGUUGGGCAGAGUGCCCCCGAAGGAGGAGAUUCCACACAGGCCCUGUGUAUCUGAGAGUUGAGUUGCUGAUUUCAGAGGUGUUUGUAUCAUUGCUCUAAAUGUGUUUCUGCUCCCCUCCCACCCAAGAUGCUGGUUCAACGGACCAUUUCAUCCUACCAUUAUACAGAACCCACAGGAGCUAGUUACCUGGUCAGUUUGAGAAGUUAAUAUUUAAAAAGACUAAUGGUUGCAUAUGGCUUCCACAGGAAAGAAAUAAUAAGCUAAUGUUAUCUAUUGACUCAAUCCCACAUAUAUUUACAUUUGACAACUUAAAAAAAAAACCUUCGGCUCAAUGAUAGUUUAGCUCAAGUCACUAUGUUAGGAUAUAUAUUUCUUUCAUCUAUGACUAUUUUUGUCUGCACAGUAACCUGCCUCAAGCACACAAAUAUUUGUGUGUCUGGCCUCAAGCAAUUAACGUGUCUCCUAACAUGAGAUAAAGAUUAAAUGAAAAUUCUGUCACCCUGAAAUAAACCUGGAAGCAGAAUUCCUGAAUGUUUGCCAAAUAAGGUGACUAUCAGACUUAAGAUGCUGAACUUUGAAAUGACUGUCAUAGAAACAAAGGCAAGGCAUGGUUGGCGCCCAUUCAACCUGGUCAAUAACAUCCUUAAUUACAGGACAUGGCAUCAUUUUGAUUCACAGUGGAAUAAAAGGCAUCUAUUUGUAUAUUUGGAAGUCUGAAUGAGGAUUUCCUGAUGAAGUCAUUUCUGUCUUACAACAGCUUCGCUUGUACCAGUAGAGUUAAAACUGGGUCACCAUUUUUAUGCGAGCGUAUGGAUACACAUACAUCCACACUCGAACCCCAAACACACACACACACACACACACACACUUCAUUUCAGAGUCUAAUUAAAACUCUAUUAUACAUAAUUUUCUUCCAGAUCAAUGGUGGUGUUGGAUCAAAAUUGUAGCUCACAAGGAAAAUCCUGUAAAGGAACCAUAUUUUUCUGUGUUGCCUGCCAAAAUGAGAACAUCAUUUGUUAAAUAAUGUGGGACACAGGUGCCCCGGAUGUACUAUUUAAUGGAGAAAGAAAAAGAGAGAAACAAUGGCUGCCAGUAUCCGGGAAAAAUGCGACUAGCUUCUUAAGCUUCUUCACCCAGAAAUUGUUACAAAUAGAAGGGAAUCUGACUUUGAGCUAUGAGUUGUUGCUUCCCCAUGACUGAAUUCCCCAAGAACUGAGUUAUUACUGACCUGUGAUUUGCUCAUCAUAAGGUCUCACUGUUAAUUACUGCUCUCUGCUCCGCAGAAACUUUGAAUUCCACCAAAGGGUGUGCCGAAGGCUUAGAUGUUGAGAAGCGUGAAUUCAUCCUGCACAACAAAUAUCAUAGAGAUGGGACUGGAGCGGGGGACAAGAAGGGGGAGAAUGAACAAGAUGCAUGUUGCAAAACCCCAAGGGGUGCUAUUUGUAUGGUAGCCUGAGUGAACAGCAAUUUCCCUGAGGGGUGGUUGCAGCAGAUACUGUGGGUACCAUCUCUACAUCUCUUACUCCUUACUCGUUCCUGCCUUACUCCUUCAGGGCAGAGCAGCCCAACUUACUCUUUGCCUAAGGACAGUCUCUGGUAUCUAAGUCUAGGUUAGCCACUCAUGGCAGGCCAGAUGAAUGAUUGCUAGGAGUCUUGCAUAUACACCCGGUUUCCUUGCCACUUGGAUAGGAUAAAGGUGCUUCACCCCAUUUUCCAGCAGUCUCCAGCAAGUCUAGGUUCCACUUGCUCACAGCAGUAGCUGAUUUUGUGAAACAUCCUUUCUGGGCUGCCUUCCUUUCUCUCUCUCCCUUUCCCUCUCCCAUCUCUGAUUUUCUUCUACUUCCCCCAAUAUAUUAAUAUUAUCUCAGGGAUGGCUUUUGGGAACCCCAAUCAAAGAAAGGAGCAAACUCAAUUAAGACCCUCUGUUUUAGGUAACUUUGGGAACCUGGUGGAGCAUCCUGACAUUACAUCCUGAACCAGAGUAUGUCUCAAGAUAUUUUUGGAUCCUGCUUUUGUGGAGACAGAAUCCACAACACAGCAGAGAGUUCCUCACUCCAAGAGGUACAUUCUUCUUACUGUCUGGUUCACUCCCUAGACACAUGCCAGCUUGACCAUCAUACAGAGCAGCCCCCAGGAUGAAGGCAAACUUCUAUCUGGAGUCUGAUCUUUCCAAGAUAGGGCUGAAUCAACUUAGCUCUUUUUUCUUGUGGCUCAUUGCUGCUUUCCAGAUUGAGAAUAGCCUCAGAUUUCUUUCUGGCUUCCAUAUACCAUGCAUCCUAUUGCUUUGCUUAUACUCUUACCCCCCAAUGUCAAAAUAGUCCUGAAGUGUAUACCAGAUCAUGUCACACAUAUGCAGAACUGAUCAUGUCAGUUCAACCUUGGCUCCAAGAAUAAAGCUGUAAGUCCUAUAACCACAAGGCCUUAGGGUGACUUGAUUCCUGAAGGCUACUCCAAUAUCAUUUCUUCUCAUUUUCCUCAUCACACCUUGCCUUUCUUUGAACGUGGUGACAUAUUCCUGCUGCAGAAUUUUGCAUUGGCUGUUUCCUCUAUCUGGUGCACUCUUUUUAUUGAAGGUGCACUCUUACCUAACCUAACUCAUGCUUUUGUGCAAAUGUCACCAUCUCAGACAGGCCUUUGCUAACCAUCCCAGCACCCCUUUAAUUUAUUAUUGCUUACUUUAAUUGUUUCUCUUUAUAGCUGUCAGCACCAACUGACAUUAUAUGUACUCGUUUGGCUGGUUUUUGUUAGUCUUUCCAUGACAAUGUAAGCGCCACUGGCUCAUCACUAACAUCAUGUGCCUGGCACACAGAAAGUACUCAAUUAAUAUUUAUAUGGUUGCUGAAUUAAUAUAUGGUGUUACCUUUAAAGAGAAGCGAAGUAAUCUGUAAAUGCUUUUACUAAAAUAAUCAUUUACCUGCAGACUAGGUAUUUUAAAAUAUAGUCUAUUUCCUGUUAUAGAUUGAUUUAUUUUUAAAGUAUUGUCUCCUUACUCUUUAAAGAUACAUUUUCCCUGUUUUCCAAAUUAGUUAUUUUUUCUUUUUGAUUAUUCAUUCCCAAGUUAGGAGAAUGUCUAAAACUUGAGAUGUACUGACUGACAAAUUAACUAACAAAGAACAGAAAUAUAUACCUCAAAUUGCACUGCUAUCAUCUAUGAUCAUUUAUUUAUUCAGCAGAUAUUAAUUGAGCGUUUACUAUAUCUCAGACACCGCUGUACAUAUUCAGAGAAUACAACAGCCAAAGAUUUCUCACCUCAAAGAACUUAUACAGAAAAGACACGCAAUAAAAUGUAAACAUGAUAAAUGAAUUAUUUUAUUUUAUUUUAUUUUAUUUUUGAGACAGAGUUUUGCACUUGUUGCCCAGGCUGGAGUGCAAUGGCGUGAUCUCGGCUCACCGCAACCUCUGCCUCCCGGGUUCAAGCGAUUCUCCUGCCUCAGCCUCCCAAGUAGCUGGGAUCAUAGGCAUGCGCCACUAUGCCCAGUUAAUUUUUUGUAUUUUUAGUAGAGAUGGGGUUUCACCAUGUUGGCCAGGUUGGUCUGAAACACCCGACCUCAGGUCAUCAGCCCACCUCGGCCUCCCAAAGUGCUGGGAUUACAGGCGGGAGCCACUGCACCUGACUGAUAAAUGAAUUAUUUAAUGUGUUUGAAGGAUACACUAGGGUGGUCAGGGGAGGCUUCACUAAGUUGACUUCUGGGCAGAGCUUGAAUUAGUGAGUGUGAAUGUGAAGCCAUGUGCAUACAUGUGGGAGGAGCACUCUAGACAAAGAGCAAGGCCAAGGCAGAGGUUCUGAGGUGGGAGCAUGCCAAGCUUGUUAUAGAGGGCAAGCUGCAGGCUGCUGAGCAAGGAGGAAGAGGGGUAGGAGAUGAAACCAAAGAAGAAUCAGGAAAGCAGGCCAUGUAGGCCCCUGGAAGCAUUAAAAGGACCUUGAUUUUCACAUAUGCCAAUAAUUGUUAAAAGGCAAUAAUAAUAGCUGUUGCCACCACAUUCGACUACAUAGUAUUCCCUGCUUGUUCCAUAUAAAGUUACUCCAUGUAAAUACAGACCCUGUGAUCACUCUUGUUGAUAAUGAUUUUAUUGUAUUAUUGUUUCUCUAUAAGGUGACUGCUGUUACAUUUUUCUUAAUUACACAGCAGUGAAACACUUCAUUGAUAAUAAAUACAAAGGAGAAAAAAUAAUUUAUAAAAUAAAAAUAGAGGUUUAAUAAAU
rnacentral:lncRNA from 1 species